rnacentral:rRNA from 1 species
GACGAACGCUGGCGGCGUGCUUAACACAUGCAAGUCGAACGAGUGGCGAACGGGUGAGUAAUACGUGAGUAACCUGCCCUCUUUUUGGGAUAAGCCUUGGAAACGGGGUCUAAUACCGGCUAAAGGGGGAUGGGCUCGCGGCCUGUCAGGUUGUUGGUGGGGUGAUGGCCUACCAAGGCGGUGACGGGUAGCCGGCCUGAGAGGGUGACCGGCGACAGUGGGACGGAGCUGCGGCCCAGACUCCGACGGGGGGGGGCAGUUGGGGUUAUUGGACAAUGGGCGAGUGCCUGAUGCAGCGUGGCCGUGUGGGGGAUGGAGGCUUUCGAGUUGUAAAGCUCGUUCGCUAUCGAGCGGGUAGGUGUAGAAGAAGCGCCGGCUAACUACGUGCCAGCAGCCGCGGUAAUUC